rnacentral:lncRNA from 1 species
UGGGCAUUGUGUUAGAUGAUCAAAUUUUGGUGAAACCCUGGAAAGGAACCAAAUAAUGAUGGAGAAGCAAUCUGUCACCAUUAUGGUGUGAUCUUUGGAUGAAAAGAUACUCCUGUUCACGCCUCAAUUGAAGUCAAUCUACUGAGCAGAGGAUAUUGUUCAGCAUAAUCUCCAGUUGAAAGCAUUCAGGGUGUAAAUGAAAUCCUAUUGGCAGGAAAGGUGGCAUCAAGAUGCCCAGAGCUCUGAAUUGAGAACAUGCAAAGGCUAAGGAGUGCACAGCCGAUGCAACUGUUGGGCAAGAUGGUUGGUGCUCUGGCAUUUGGGUUUGCAGAGUCAUCCCGCAGCCACCUUUGAUCAGAGCCUGCUUUUUCCUUCCAGUCAUUGAGGACUGUGGUGGUCUUGACGACUUAUGUGGGCCUAAAUAGAAGAAGGGGGAGCAUUCCUUUUUCUUCUCUUCCAAUAUGGCAGGUUUUACUUAAGAGGUGAUGAUCCAAGACGGUGAUGCCAGAAAUUGGCAGGUACAACAACUCUGUGACACAGAGUAUAAGGGAGUCUCCACAACAAAGAGAUAUAGCCAAAUGGAUCGUUUAACCCUGAGGCGGCAGUGGCACAUGCUUCCUUGAAGACCGGAUGAAACUCGGGGAAACCAGAAGUAAAACAUCAUAUAAUAAACAGAAAAAUUGUGCAAUCCUCUCGGAUUUUCUUUGAAAAAAACACGUCUAGAGAAGAGUAUGGCAUUUGGAGCCUGAAAGUCUGGGGGUUUGAAUUCUGGCUCUGCUAUUUACUAGCUAUGUGGCUGUGGACAACUUAACCUCCAGAAGCAUCAACUACCUCAUGUGGAAAAUGGAUACAUAAGCGGCACCUUGCAGAGGCGGCGCAGCGAAAGCCCUAGCAUAUACUUGGCACCCAGUGUGAAGCCCCAAUAUGAGAGUUAUCCUGGCUGUGGUCUCAGGGGUAUUGCUUUGAACAUAUAACCAAAGUUGCUGCCUUCUUCAAAACAACUCUAGAGUAAGCCCUUCGGAAUAAGCUAUGUUCACCAUGAGCCAUCUGGGUGGGAGGGUGUAUUUGGUGGGUGUGUGUCUAUGGAUAGGACAGCAACUGUAAAUGCACUUGGGAUGAAUAUAUCUGUUGGAAAUUGGGAUUCAGUAUUGAUUAAUGCUUUGACCUAAAGCCUCUACAAGUAUUUGCUUGUAAUUUACUUCUGUGGGAG